CAGACCCUUUCAAAGCCCACACUCUGCAAAGUCCAUUCCUGCACUCUGUUAAAGCAGCUCUGCUUCAGAGCUGAUCCUGCACAGCAGUGCAGGGGCUGUGUUCAUCAGCCCUCCAAGGAGUAGGUGGGAGAGCCAGGUAUCUGCAGCUGGACUUAAAAGACAGAAAUCAUGGCCCAAGAGCGACUGUGGCAGGGCCUGGAACCAUCCUGGGGAGACCUCCGUGUCCUCCUGGCUGUGCUGUGCAGCUCAGCUGCAGCUGUGGUGCUUCUGAAAUGGCUGGGAAGGAGGCAGGUCCAGCAGAAGAUGGAUGGGGCAAGGAGGUCUCAGCAUCAGGCCCUGGACAGAAUGGAGAAGGCAGCUCACAGGCUUAAGGAAGAGAACCCAAGCACGCAGACCUCACACAUCCUCUCGCUGGCAAUGGUGCAGCUGGCAGAGAAGCUGAAGGAGGGGUCCCUGUCCCCAGAAAGUGUCCUCUACUCCUACAUGGACAGAGUGGUACCUCCAGCACACCAGAGAGGCUGCAGGGCUCUCCUGCAGUGCGACUUUCAAAUUAAAAAUCACCUCAUUUGCUGA
rnacentral:lncRNA from 12 species